UCGACGGUAACGGAAGCAGCUUGCUGCUUCGCUGACGAGUGGCGGACGGGUGAGUAAUGUCUGGGAAACUGCCUGAUGGAGGGGGAUAACUACUGGAAACGGUGGCUAAUACCGCAUAACGUCGCAAGACCAAAGAGGGGGACCUUCGGGCCUCUUGCCAUCAGAUGUGCCCAGAUGGGAUUAGCUUGUUGGUGAGGUAACGGCUCACCAAGGCGACGAUCCCUAGCUGGUCUGAGAGGAUGACCAGCCACACUGGAACUGAGACACGGUCCAGACUCCUACGGGAGGCAGCAGUGGGGAAUAUUGCACAAUGGGCGCAAGCCUGAUGCAGCCAUGCCGCGUGUAUGAAGAAGGCCUUCGGGUUGUAAAGUACUUUCAGCGGGGAGGAAGGUGUUGCGGUUAAUAACCGCAGCAAUUGACGUUACCCGCAGAAGAAGCACCGGCUAACUCCGUGCCAGCAGCCGCGGUAAUACGGAGGGUGCAAGCGUUAAUCGGAAUUACUGGGCGUAAAGCG
rnacentral:rRNA from 1 species